UCGCAUUGAUUCCUACAUAGACGACACUGAUUAAAGCACUGCGUGAUUCCCGCUUCCGUCUAUUGCUACAGCCGAAGCAACAACACUCAGGCGUGCUGAUUUCAACGCGUGAUUUCCUGCCGCACACCCAAGAGCGUUGUUGUUGCUGCGUGUGAUGAGACAACACGAUGCUGGAAUCCGAGGCCGCGGUAGGUGAGUUCUGGCUCGUUUUGCCGACAAUACGGUGCUCCUCUUCUUUUUAUACGCACAACCGCAGCUCCGUGCGCAUACACUCUCGAAUAUCUCUGGUUGGCUUCUCUGCCCCUCUGCUCUCUCUAAGUCUACAAGAAUACACAGAAAGAAAAACUUGGUAGCCACUUUCACUCGUGAUUUUGGCCGAUUUAGAGUUGGAUUUCGAAGAUGGUGAAGUUGAAGAAAAGAUAGAUUAAGGCAUUAUUUCAGCACUUGGAGGAGUCAUUUGGAGUUUCUGGAGUAGGAUUUGCCGUGCAAAGUGAAGUACGAAGGGGAAGAUCGAGGUAAAAUAAUUCAUCUUAGUAGCAAACAAGGAGGAGAUGACGUGAUUGAAGAAAUUGUGUUUCCAUCUUCGCUGUCCCUUUUGAGGAUGACCACAUACAUGCAAGUGCUAUUUUCAUACUUUUGAUAGCAGAAAGAAAAAGCCGUGUGUAAUAUUAAUGUUCAUGUGAUAAUAGGUCGACUCCGUUCAUAUAAUACUGGUGACGGAUAUUUAUUCGAACUAUUUUGACGCUUAAUUGCAUUCGCAAGCACAUCCAUAUUGGAGCUGAGGUAUAAAUGACGCCGUAAUUUUGUUAAUAUUUUUUAUAUUGAUGUACUGUUGUGAAUAAUGUGCAUGCCGCUGCGAAUAUUAUUAUUUGUAAAUAAAUGAUUAUUAUCGUUAUUAUCGUGUGAUAUGAAAAAAUUAUAUAAAACCGGAAGAUAUUAAAUGUUUUACUCAUAUGAUAUUAAAAUGUUAUUAUCAUACUACUAUGUUUAGUGGUUGUUUGGAUAGCGAGUAAUUACCCUCGGUUUUGUCAAAACCUGUUGAAUUGAACAAGCCAUGAUCCGAGAAGAUGCAAAGACAUUUGAACGAGAAAGCAAAGAAGUCCCAAAGUCAUGGCUGCAGGAAAGUGGACGCACUUAGGAAUAAGUGGGAGGUCAAUGUGUGAGCUAAGUACGUUAAGGGUCACCACAGAGGAUAAAAAAGCAAGUUGUCACCCUCGGCCCAACGUCCUGUGAGUGCACUUGUAACAAGCCCAAGUUUGAGGGCUACCCUUGCAGUCAUGUGCUCCGAGCGACUGCAGAUCAAAAAAUCAGUGUCGAGCCAUACAUAUCGUCGUACUUCAACAUGUACAAUCUGUACAACACUUGAAACGGUGAGUUUUGGGCCUGAGGCAUUGAUAUGAACUACAAAAUGAUGUGGCCAGAUGGGCCGAAAUGGGUUCCGAACGCCGACUUGAUGAGAACCGCCAAGGGACGAUGUCAGUCUAGGCGUCAUCGCAAUGACAUGGACCAUAGCCAGAUGAGAGAACCAAGGCGAUGCCGCGUCUGCAUGUGUCCUGGACAUUCACGUAGGGAAUGCCCGCAUCGAGCCAACAACACCGAAUGAUGUUGAUAUAUCUGUACUCGUGUUGUCUACUUAUAUCUGUACUCGUUAUGUGUACUUAUAUUUAAUUUAAAUUGAAUCUCCUUGUAUUAUUUUACUCGUGAUGUUAACUUUAGAUAAUCAAUGUAAAUUGUAUCUCUUUGUA